GAUGAAGCGAGGAGGUGAAUAUGAUGAGGUCUACCGCAAAAUCGUUCUACCAACGCUACUUUUCUGCGACGCAGGAAGCGUCCUGGCUGGCCCGCCUGAUGGCAGGACGACAGCAGGAAAUUCUGGGGGAACUGAUGCAGUGGGGAGUGACGUCAACGACCUCUGAUCAUUGACUUGCAGACAUCAUGUGUGACUGAGUAUUGGUGUUAUACUCGUCG
rnacentral:sRNA from 1 species